CUUUUAAAGGAUCCAAGUCUAAUCCGU
rnacentral:tRNA from 2 species